GAUGAACGCUGGCGGCGUGCCUAAUACAUGCAAGUCGAACGAACAGGUGAGGAGCUUGCUCCUCUGACGUGUGCGGCGGGCGUGUGAGUAACACGUGUAUAACCUACUUAUAAUACUGGUAUAACUACGGGAAACCGGAGCUUAUACCGUAUAAUAUAUUGAUCCGCAGUGUUCAAUAGUGAAAUACGGUGUUUCGGUCACGUAUAGAUGGAUCCGCGCCGCAUUAGCUAGUUGGUGAGGUAACGGCUUACCAAGGCAACGAUGCGUAGCCGACCUGAGAGGGUGAUAGGCGACACGGGAACUGAGACACGGUCCAGGCUCCUAAGGGAGGCAGCAGUAGGGAAUGUUACGCAAUGGGCGAAAGCAUGACGGAGCAACGCCGAGCGAGUGACGAAGGUCUUCGGAGCGGAAAAAUCGGUUUCUAGGGAAGAACAACUGUGUAAGUAAAUAUGGACGGAGUGACGGUAACUGAUAAGAAAGCAACGGCUAACUACGUG
rnacentral:rRNA from 1 species